rnacentral:rRNA from 1 species
UGCUAUACAUGCAGUCGAGCGAACGGACGAGAAGCUUGCUUCUCUGAUGUUAGCGGCGGACGGGUGAGUAACACGUGGAUAACCUACCUAUAAGACUGGGAUAACUUCGGGAAACCGGAGCUAAUACCGGAUAAUAUUUUGAACCGCAUGGUUCAAAAGUGAAAGACGGUCUUGCUGUCACUUAUAGAUGGAUCCGCGCUGCAUUAGCUAGUUGGUAAGGUAACGGCUUACCAAGGCAACGAUGCAUAGCCGACCUGAGAGGGUGAUCGGCCACACUGGAACUGAGACACGGUCCAGACUCCUACGGGAGGCAGCAGUAGGGAAUCUUCCGCAAUGGGCGAAAGCCUGACGGAGCAACGCCGCGUGAGUGAUGAAGGUCUUCGGAUCGUAAAACUCUGUUAUUAGGGAAGAACAUAUGUGUAAGUAACUGUGCACAUCUUGACGGUACCUAAUCAGAAAGCCACGGCUAACUACGUGCCAGCAGCCGCGGUAAUACGUAGGUGGCAAGCGUUAUCCGGAAUUAUUGGGCGUAAAGCGCGCGUAGGCGGUUUUUUAAGUCUGAUGUGAAAGCCCACGGCUCAACCGUGGAGGGUCAUUGGAAACUGGAAAACUUGAGUGCAGAAGAGGAAAGUGGAAUUCCAUGUGUAGCGGUGAAAUGCGCAGAGAUAUGGAGGAACACCAGUGGCGAAGGCGACUUUCUGGUCUGUAACUGACGCUGAUGUGCGAAAGCGUGGGGAUCAAACAGGAUUAGAUACCCUGGUAGUCCACGCCGUAAACGAUGAGUGCUAAGUGUUAGGGGGUUUCCGCCCCUUAGUGCUGCAGCUAACGCAUUAAGCACUCCGCCUGGGGAGUACGACCGCAAGGUUGAAACUCAAAGGAAUUGACGGGGACCCGCACAAGCGGUGGAGCAUGUGGUUUAAUUCGAAGCAACGCGAAGAACCUUACCAAAUCUUGACAUCCUUUGACAACUCUAGAGAUAGAGCUUUCCCCUUCGGGGGACAAAGU